rnacentral:rRNA from 1 species
GACGAACCGUGCGAACGUUGUUCGGAAUCACUGGGCUUAAAGGGCGCGUAGGCGGGCGGGCAAGUCAGGGGUGAAAUCCCACGGCUCAACCGUGGAAGUGCCCUUGAUACUGCCGGUCUCGAGGGAGGUAGGGGCGUGCGGAACUUCCGGUGGAGCGGUGAAAUGCGUAGAUAUCGGAAGGAACACCGGUGGCGAAAGCGGCGCGCUGGAUCUCUACUGACGCUGAGGAGCGAAAGCCAGGGGAGCAAACGGG